GAGGGCACCGUAUCUCAAGACAUGACUGGAGAGAACAACUGUUUGGAGAACUGUACCUAGUCAAUGCACUUUGCUGUUUACAGUAUGCAACUUGCUACUAUGAGUUCAGAUUCGGUUAUAUUGUUGCAGACGGUGACAUUUUCUGCUGAAAACCACCAAGAUCAACGGAUUAAAGAGCCCAAAGAAACCAACUAUCCAAUAGGUACCGUAGCCUCUCCCUAUUACCUAUCAAUGAUGUAGCUAUAUAAAAAUCAUUGGUACUAAUGUGGUGGAAAAGUGGAUUUUUUAAAGCAAAUACCAAGUUGGCAGCAUCCAGCACUCACCAUGUUUCUUUCCUUUAUCCUGAAGAUCCUCUUUUGACCAUUUAGAUGCACCAGGUGUGGACCAAAGACUCAAAAGAAAGGAAAACAAACACAAAACACAAAGGAGAGGACGAAAGAGGUGUCCGGUGGAUGGCUGUCAAGUCACCGUCAUUCACCUACCUCGUCACCUGCGGCAGGUCCAUGAGUGGGGCAGAGAGGAGGCCCAGUCUGCAGUCAACACAUUUGGUCUCGGAGCACCAAGCAGACAUGGUGACAGCAGCUGCAAGGCUAAAAACAACCAUCACUCCAGGCCUUGCCCCAUGACAGGCUGUCAUGAAUUUGUCAAAAGACUGCCAGCCCACCUGAGAAAGCAACACAAGCUUGAAAAUAACUCUCCUCUAUACAGAGAGCUUCUUACAGCAUCACAGAAGAGAAGGUCAAAUGUCAAUGAAUGAAUGUUAUGAUGUUUACUGUGAAUAAUUAUUCUAGCUGAUGUAUUGAAGUUGAAUGAGAAAUAUGUAAUUGAAUUGGGACAUGAUUGAACAAGACAAUAUUUGGGAAAGGAAUAAAGAAUGCGCUUGAACUGCCACACAGCAGGCCGACUCAGACAUCCUUUCUGAGGCUUGUAACAGAUACAGCAUAGAAAGACCAGCAUCAAUUCAUAUCCGAAGUGGUCACACUCAUUUACACACAGACCUUUUUUGUAGGAUGUAAACCUUAUGUAUGUCCAGUGGUGUAAAGUACUUUAGUAAAAAUACUUUAAAGUACUACUUAAGUCGUUUUUGGGGUAUCUGUACUUAACUUUAUUAUUUAUAUUUUUGAAGACUUUUACUCCAAUACAUUUCCCUGACACCCAAAAGUACUCGUUGAAUGCUUAGCAGGACAGGAAAAUUGUCUAAUUCACACACUUAUCAAGAGAACAUCCCUGGUCAUCCCUACUGCCUCUGAUCUGGCAGACUCACUAAACACAAAUGCUUAGUUUGUAAAUUAUGUCUGACUGUUGAAGUGUGCCUCUGGCUUUCCGUAUAAAAAAUAUAAAAAA